UACGGGGGGGGCAAGCGUUGUUCGGAAUUACUGGGCGUAAAGGGCUCGUAGGCGGCCAACUAAGUCGGAUGUGAAAUCCCCAGGCUCAACUUGGGAACUGCAUCCGAUACUGGAUGGCUUGAAUUCGGGAGAGGGAUGCAGAAUUCCAGGUGUAGCGGUGAAAUGCGUAGAUAUCGGAAGGAACAUCAGUGGCGAAGGCGACUUCCUGGACCAAUACUGACGCUCAGGUGCGAAAGCGCGGGGAUCAAACAGG
rnacentral:rRNA from 1 species